ACAUUGUUCAGUAUGUUUGCUUGCUGUAGAGAGGCGAGUAAGUAGCACAUAAUACAUUUGUAGAAGAUUGCCUUAGAGAUGUCUCUGAGGAAUAUGAAGAGAUGAAGAAGUGCUACGAGAAAUUGCCCAGCAGCACCAAUGCAGCAACAACAACUGCCUGAUCAAGACAAAGUGUAUCUAAGAUCACAGUCAUUCGGUUUCUCCUCUCUACUGAGCUCCAGUGCUCCAUCUCCCUCCAUGCAGCCUGUCUAAGGGCUUAGAGGACUCUCUCCCUCUGGCUCAUGGUGCUGAACUUUUCAAGGCUUUGCUCAAUCCCUGCUCUGUGUGAAGUCUGUAACAUUUCAAAGUGGUUUGUGUGUGGUGUGUGCCGUUUUUAAUACAUCAAUGUGUUUUGUUGAGAAACGUCAAGGCCAAAUGACAGAACAUUUACUAUUGAAAGCACUAUUUUCAUGUUUAUAUUACACUGUACCAAUAGAACCAUGCUUUGGUUUCAGAUGGGCUGUUAACCUGCAUGUUGGAGCUGUCGCUGCCAGACAAGCCUAUGUCUUUGGAGAUCCUUCAGAUUAGAAUAUCCCACACACAGAAAUGUAGCUGCCUUUCACAUAUAAACAUGACUGAGCUAUCUGAAUGCUGCCAGUGUAUGUGAGAGGGUUUACAGAGAAAACGUUUAACAAUGAAAACCAAAGUAACUCACCCGUGUGCAGUCACUAUAACAUCCUUAUCUCAAA